rnacentral:rRNA from 1 species
UACGUAGGGGGCAAGCGUUGUCCGGAUUCAUUGGGCGUAAAGAGCGCGUAGGCGGCCAGGUAGGUCGGUUGUGAAAACUGGAGGCUCAACCUUCAGAGGUCGACCGAAACCAUCUGGCUAGAGUCCGGGAGAGGAGAGUGGAAUUCCUGGUGUAGCGGUGAAAUGCGCAGAUAUCAGGAAGAACACCCGUGGCGAAGGCGGCUCGCUGGAACGGUACUGACGCUGAGACGCGAAAGCGUGGGGAGCGAACAGG